rnacentral:rRNA from 1 species
GGACCGACAGCAAUAUGAAGGCCAGGCUGAAGACUUUGCCGGAUUAGCUGAGAGGUGGUGCAUGGCCGUCGUCAGUUCGUACUGUGAAGCAUCCUGUUAAGUCAGGCAACGAGCGAGACCCACGCCCACAGUUGCCAGCGUACUCUCUGGAGUGACGGGUACACUGUGGGGACCGCCGCUGCUAAAGCGGAGGAAGGAAUGGGCAACGGUAGGUCAGUAUGCCCCGAAUAUCCCGGGCUACACGCGAGCUACAAUGGUUGGUACAAUGGGUAUCUACCCCGAAAGGGGACGGGAAUCUCCUAAAACCAAUCUUAGUUCGGAUUGAGGGCUGCAACUCGCCCUCAUGAAGCUGGAAUCCGUAGUAAUCGCGUUUCAACAGAACGCGGUGAAUACGUCCCUGCUCCUU